GCGGUACAUACACUAAAACACACAUUACAACACUGGAACAAUACAUAGAAGAUUAGCAUGGCCUUCUGGCAAGGAUGACACACGAUUCCUGACAUAUUUCAUAUGAUUUA